CUACGGAGGGGGCUAGCGUUGUUCGGAAUUACUGGGCGUAAAGCGCGUGUAGGCGGAUCGUUAAGUCAGGGGUGAAAGCCCGGAGCUCAACUCCGGAAUUGCCCUUGAUACUGGCGAUCUAGAGGCCGUGAGAGGUGAGCGGAAUUCCCAGUGUAGAGGUGAAAUUCGUAGAUAUUGGGAGGAACACCAGUGGCGAAGGCGGCUCACUGGCCCGGUUCUGACGCUGAGACGCGAAAGCGUGGGGAGCAAACAGGAUUAGAAACCCCAGUAGUCC
rnacentral:rRNA from 1 species